GUAGAAUAAGUCUCGGAGCAUAUGAUCCUUCCACAGUGAAGCUUAUAGAAGCCUUUGCAGCCUGGCAACAGGUAGCCGCGCGACUCUAAACAAUGGGGCCUUAUGCAAGUCAGAGUACCCUCUGGCAACACAACCGAAUUGACGGGGACACCUUAAAGCCCGCUCCACCAACCGACCCGGGAAAUCGGGUUGGGGCCCAUGUUAACAGCAUGGGGUAUGGUAAGAGAGAGUCGGGAUGUUACAAUAGGCA
rnacentral:misc_RNA from 1 species